AAGGAUUUCAUUGCGCAUGCGCAUUAACUGGCCCACGUGGUUGCUUGAUACUAACCCUAAAUAUGGCUUACCUGUAUGAUGAGUAGUAGUUUUUCUCGUUUUUCUACUACAAAAAUAAUAAAAAAUACCGAGGCAACCCCCUUCAUUAUCAUAUUUCAUAAUGACUAGCUCCUCUAUUAACUGGAGGAGAGGGUAUAGCUACCCGCUGUAGUCAUUAUCCUGAGUUGUGAUAGGGCAUGUUUGGCUGUUCAUAUAUUAUUACCACAUGAUACCUUAGCAUAAGGAGACAUAAAAUGGGCUGGUUAUAUCUUUUCACUCACUGGUUCAUUCAUACCAAUGAAGUAUAAUUAAAGCCCAACAUUA
rnacentral:telomerase_RNA from 1 species